UACGGAGGGUGCAAGCGUUGCUCGGAUUUACUGGGCGUAAAGUGCGCGUAGGCGGUUUAGUAAGUCUGGUGUGAAAUCCCACGACUCAAUCGUGGAAGUGCAUUGGAUACUGCUAGACUGGAGUACAGGAGGGGUAGGCGGAAUUCCUGGUGUAGAGGUGAAAUUCGUAGAUAUCAGGAGGAACAACGGCGGCGAAGGCGGCCUACUGGACUGUUACUGACGCUGAGGCGCGAAAGCGUGGGGAGCAAACAGG
rnacentral:rRNA from 1 species